rnacentral:rRNA from 1 species
AACCUUUAGCAAAACAAGCAUUAAAGGCAACGCCUGCCCAGUGAACAAUUCAACGGCCGCGGUACCCUAACCGUGCAAAGGUAGCGUAAUCACUUGUCUAUUAAUUGUAGACCCGUAUGAAAGGCAAAAUGAGGGUCUAACUGUCUCUUAUAAUAAAUCAAUUAAACUGAUCUCCCAGUAAAAAAGCUGGAAUACACACAUAAGACCAGAAGACCCUGUGAAGCUUAAACUAAAAUAUUAAACCCUAUAAUAACUCCUUUCGGUUGGGGCGACCUUGGAAACAAAAAGAACUUCCAAACAUGUGACCUAACAUCACACUAACAAGGCCAACAAGCCAAAAUAAGAUCCAGCUAGACUGAAAAAUGAACCAAGUUACUCCAGGGAUAACAGCGCUAUCUUCUUCAAGAGCCCAUAUCAAAAAGAAGGUUUACGACCUCGAUGUUGGAUCAGGACAUCCUAUUGGUGCAGCCGCUAUUAAGGGUUCGUUUGUUCAACGAUUAAUAGUCCU